rnacentral:rRNA from 1 species
CUUGAACGCUGGCGGCAGGCCUAACACAUGCAAGUCGAGCGAGCGGCGGACGGGUGAGUAAUGUCUGGGAAACUGCCUGAUGGAGGGGGAUAACUACUGGAAACGGUAGCUAAUACCGCAUACCAUCAGAUGUGCCCAGAUGGGAUUAGAUAGUAGGUGGGGUACAGGCUCACCUAGGCGACGAUCCCUAGCUGGUCUGAGAGGAUGACCCGCCACACUGGAACUUGGACACUGUCCAUACUCCGACGGGAGGCAGCAGUGGGGAAUAUUGCACAAGGGGCGCAAGCCUGAUGCAGCCAUGCCGCGUGUGUGAAGAAGGCCUUCGGGUUUUAAAGCACUUUCAGCGGGGAGGCGUUACCCGCAGAAGAAGCACCGGCUAACUCCGUGCCAGCAGCCGCGGUAAUAC